rnacentral:rRNA from 1 species
UAUUAUUGUUGAAUAAUAUAAGUUUGUGUAAUUUUAUUAGUUAAGCCAAGUCUAUGUGCUGCUUAUAGAAGUAUUCAUGCGUUACUUUAAUAAAGUUUUAGUUGUAAGCACUAUUAUAUUUAGGACUUAAAAGUAAUGUUAAAUUAGUUUGUUAAUGUGAAAUAAGUUUAGCUCA